rnacentral:rRNA from 1 species
ACUGCUAUUUGGGUGAGGAUAAGCCAUGCGAGUUGGAUGGGAUACCUAAACUUCCCAUAGCAAACUGCUUAGUAACACAUGAUCAACUUGCCCUAUGGAGAAAAAUAACCUCGGGAAACUGAGGAUAAUGUUUCAUAGUUGAAUAGGCUUGGAAAAGUUUUUCAAUGAAAGGAAUAAGAUAAAUGGUUCUUAUUUGCCAUAGGAUAGGAUCGUGGUCGAUUAUGGUAGUUGGUGAGAUAACGGCUCACCAAGCCGAUAAUCGAUAGGGGCCGUGAGAGCGGGAGCCCCAAGAUGGGUACUGAGACAGCGACCCAGGCCUUACGAGGCGCAGCAGGCGCGAGACCUCCGCAAUACACGAAAGUGUGACGGGGUUACCCAAAGUGUUCUCUUAAGAACUGUGGUAGGUGAGUAAUGUCCCCUGCUAGAAAGGAGAGGGCAAGGCUGGUGCCAGCCGCCGCGGUAAAACCAGCUCUUCAAGUGGUCGGGAUAAUUAUUGGGCUUAAAGUGUCCGUAGCCGGUUUAGUAAGUUCCUGGUAAAAUCGGGUAGCUUAACUAUCUGCAUGCUAGGAAUACUGCUAUACUAGAGGGCGGGAGAGGUCUGAGGUACUACAGGGGUAGGGGUGAAAUCUUAUAAUCCUUGUAGGACCCCCAGUGGCGAAGGCGUCAGACUGGAACGCGCCUGACGGUGAGGGACGAAAGCCAGGGGAGCGAACCGGAUUAGAUACCCGGGUAGUCCUGGCCGUAAACGAUGCAUACUAGGUGAUGGUACGGCCAUGAGCCGUAUCAGUGCCGUAGGGAAACCGUUAAGUGUGCCGCCUGGGAAGUACGGUCGCAAGGCUAAAACUUAAAGGAAUUGGCGGGGGAGCACCACAAGGGGUGAAGCCUGCGGUUCAAUUGGACCCAACGCCGGGAAACUUACCAGGGGAGACAGCAGAAUGAGGGUCAGGUUGACGACCUUACCUGAUGAGCUGAGAGGAGGUGCAUGGCCGUCGCCAGUUCGUGCUGUGAGGUAUCCUGUUAAGUCAGGCAACGAACGAGAUCCGCACCUUUAUUUGCCAACAAGAAGUUACGACUUCGUUGGGAACACUAAAGGGACCGCCGUCGAUAAGGCGGAGGAAGGAGCGGGCAAAGGCAGGUCAGUAUGCCCCGAAACCCCUGGGCUACACGCGGGCUGCAAUGGUAUGAACAAUGGGCUGUAACUCCGAAAGGAGAAACCAAUCCCGAAAUCAUAUCACAGUGGGGAUUGUUGGCUGUAACCCGCCGACAUGAACGUGGAAUCCCUAGUAAUCGUGUGUCAUCAUCGCACGGUGAAUACGUCUCUGCUCCUUGCACACACCGCCCGUCGCUCCAUCCGAGUGUACUAAAAAUGAGGUUUGGUCAGACUGGUCAUAUCGAGUUUCUAGUAUGCGAGGAGGGAGAAGUCGUAACAAGGUA